rnacentral:rRNA from 1 species
AGCGAACGCUGGCGGCAGGCCUAACACAUGCAAGUCGAACGAACCUUUCGGGGUUAGUGGCGGACGGGUGAGUAACACGUGGGAACGUGCCUUUAGGUUCGGAAUAACUCAGGGAAACUUGUGCUAAUACCGAAUGUGCCCUUCGGGGGAAAGAUUUAUCGCCUUUAGAGCGGCCCGCGUCUGAUUAGCUAGUUGGUUGAGGUAAUGGCUCACCAAGGCGACGAUCAGUAGCUGGUCUGAGAGGAUGAUCAGCCACAUUGGGACUGAGACACGGCCCAAACUCCUACGGGAAGCAGGAGGGGGGGAUCUUGCGCAAUGGGCGAAAGCCUGACGCAGCCAUGCCGCGUGAAUGAUGAAGGGCUUAGGAUUGUAAAAUUCUUUCACCGGGGACGAUAAUGACGGGACCCGGAGAAGAAGCCCCGGCUAACUUCGUG